AGAGUUUGAUCCUGGCUCAGGACGAACGCUGGCGGCGUGCCUAAUACAUGCAAGUAGGACGCACAGCCUAUACCGUAGCUUGCUACACCAUAGGCUGUGAGUUGCGAACGGGUGAGUAACGCGUAGGUAACCUGCCUAUUAGAGGGGGAUAACUAUUGGAAACGAUAGCUAAUACCGCAUAACAGUAUGUAACACAUGUUAGAUGCUUGAAAGAUGCAAUUGCAUCGCUAGUAGAUGGACCUGCGUUGUAUUAGCUAGUAGGUAGGGUAAUGGCCUACC
rnacentral:rRNA from 1 species